UGCAAAUACUGAUAGCACUGCGAUGGGUC
rnacentral:sRNA from 1 species